rnacentral:lncRNA from 1 species
UUGUGUGCACGCAUGCAAAUGGAAAUGAUCAUGUGAAGUUCAAUCUUGCCAAACCACUUCCCAUAAUGAAGCCAUGCACAAGUCCUUCAAUUUUAUUCCAAUUGAGAUGAUCUUGGAUGUUUUUGAAUGGUGACAUUAAGCAUAACAAAUUUCAUGUUGAACACUUUUUCAUUUGAAGCUUGGAUCAUGAUAAAUUUUGAGGUAGAAGUUUGGGAAAUCAAACAUAUUUGAAAAUUUUCUAAGUCCCAAGUCAAAUGUUCACU